ensembl:lncRNA
UGAUUUGUAUAGAGCUUUUAACGAUGGAGGUGAUCACAAAGCAGCUGUACAGAAAUAAAGCGAGUGUUAGAAUAAAACAUUCCACAGAUACAUGCUGAUUUUUAUUGGGGAGAAGAAGAGAGGAACUUCUGGUGGAGUUUUGAGUGAGAACUUGUACCACCGCGCUCCAACCUUCAAUUGUCGAGCUACUACACAAAGUGUAAAUGUUUACAGAAGGAAUUCUGAUGGAUUUCCUUCCAACUAAACACUCUUCACUUACUGGCCACAGCGGAGGAGUCAGUUUUAUUGCUAUGCUGCUAAACCAGAUUAGACUAUUGUCCAUGUGGAGCUUCAGCACCUUCUCACUAUCUCUACAAUGGCUCCUUACGUGUACUACUACUACUACUAUUGCAAUAUGACCCCACUCUGCUCCAAGCGAGGGUGGGGUGCUGAGGUCUGACUUCUCCCUUGUGACCUCGGAUUACACACGAAAUAGUAAAGAAAUAAUAAAGAAUGAUGUUGGAUAUUGUUCACACACAAACCUGAAGAAUUCUUCUUCUCUAAUUACUGCUCAAACAUCAUGUCUCAACUGUGAUGCUGCACAGAAGAGGAAGUGCUCCAACACACACACACACACACACACACACACACCACACACACACACACACACACACCCACCCCUUAUUUCCUACACAAUACAGGUGUGUUAGUGUCCUACAGAGUAAUAUAAUGCUGAAAGAUUAUAAAGAUAUGAUUCUACAGCUGGUUAGUCAGUUUAUAUAACGUAAUAUGUGCUAUCACUGUGCUUCUCCUUGAAGAUGUCUACAUUAUUUCUCUUCUUCUUGGACCAGUCCACUAUCACUGUGCGUCACGUCUCUCAGUGUGAGCUCUGGGUAUCUGAGUGAUGUUCUGUGUGUGUAUUCAGCUUUACACUGUAGUGAGUGUUGAGUCACGUUACAGAUCCGUUCACCAUCAGCUGAAUCACUGCUUGUAUAAAUCACCUCCACUGGCUCUGGUACGGACAGAUCCAGGAUCAGAUCUCCAUCAUGCUUCACCUGAACUGCUGAGAACACGGCUGAGGAGAAAACACAUUCAGCUGUAUUUAUUCAGAGUCCACAACUAAAGUUCAAAGGUCACGUCAGUGUUUGCGUGUGGAAAGUUGCUGGUAUUCAGAGUCGGUUACACAGCUGCUUCAGUGGAUUUUCUGAGCUCUAAAGCUCAGAUGAUUAAAAUAAGACAAUUUAAAAAUGAAGAGAUCUCAGGUUUAGAUUUGUAAUUAAAGUUUAAAAACAUGUUUUCACUUCAUCAUUACGGGAGAUUAAGUGUUGAUUGAUGGGUAAAAAUCUCAAUUCUAUCCGUUCAACAUCAAAUCCACAACACAAUAAUGUGUGCACCAAGUGAAGGGGUGUGAAUACUUUCUGACCCCACUGUCUGUGUCUGAACGAACAGCACUAGCUGUAAUUAUCACAUGAAUCACCGGUUUCAUUAAACAAUAAUGAAAGAAGCAUUUCUAAAUGAUUAUGUGAAGAACUGUGAUGAUGUUGUGCUCCAACAGCAGCACUUCAUGAAGCUACGAGACUCUAAAUGGAGGAGAUGAAAUUGUAAGUGAAACUGUCAUUUAAUAAAUUGAGAGUGUCAUUUAAUAUUGUCCUUGAAUGGUGCUCCGUGUGUGUGUGUGUGUUUAAGAUCAGAAUCGAGUGAAACCGAGACAUGCCUCUGUUUUAGAUAAACUCCGCCCCUGCAUGCGUAACUCUCACCUGACUUCUGAACAGUGUUGAGUGUGUAGUUACGUCUGAGUUCUGAGUACUGAUGUGUGGAAUUUCAGGAUUAAAUCCUAACUGUGCUCUUAACUCUGAAUGUAACCCCAAUAAUUCAGACUGAAUGUUUUAUCAGCAGUAGAAGAGAUAAAGACACUUACUAUCAAUUCUGAGACGCCAUACAGCGUAGUCUAUGCUGCGACACUCACACACGUACGUGUUCCUCAUACUGUAUUCAGCUGAAGUGAUGGUGAGAGAGAGAUCUCCCUUCAGGUACUGAUCAUGAGACAUUUCAUAUCCCUUCACCACUGAGCUGCAUGAUGUCUGAUCACACCGAGCGAAGACAGAUCGAGUACUUUUCAAGGUCCAUUUGGCUUCACCAGAACAUUCAUGUUCACAUGGGAGAGUCACACGCUGAUGAAGCUUCACCUGGACACGACAGUCAGCAGCUGCUACAGGAGCUGAAAGAGAGAAUAAAUCCUUUAUGACAAGGCCAAAACUAUGAAGAUGAGUUUAGAUUUAAAUUGAAGAAUAAAGUGAGAGCACUGCGCUCUUUUCCACCGUGUGGAUUAAUCUGACUGCUGCAGGUGUAAAAACUCAUACAGAGAAAAUUCAGGGCUGUGUCCCAAACCACGUAAAGUGCACUAAGAUUCCUAAACACUAAUCACACGCUGUAGUGACAUUUAAUGUCACAGUGCAGUGAGAUAACAC